rnacentral:tRNA from 1 species
GGAGCUGUAGUGUAGCUUGGAAAAAUUCGAACAUGUUUCGUUCAUUUUGAGCAAUCUAUCACUAGCGGUUUGGGACCGCUGAACCCCAGUUCGAAUCUGGGCAGCCCCA